AGUUUUUCUUCGAACAUCUUGCACUAAAGCUUCCGAUAUACCAACCAACACACAAGAAUCGGAUAAUACAGCAGCCGGAACGAUAAAAAAUUGAAUAUUACGCCUUAUAAACAUGGGGGGAAGUGGCACAGGCAAAUGAAACUUUAUGAAAACCAACGAAUCUGGUGGCCGGAACGAUAAAAAGCAAGUUGAAUAUUACGCCUUAUAAACACGGGUGGAAGUGGCACAGGCAAAUGAAACUUUAUGAAAACCAACGAAUCUGGUGGCCGGAACGAUAAAAAGCAAGAACGCGAUAAAAACUGCACACAAGCAAAAUCGACGCGAAAAAUAGAGAUUUCGGCUAAUCGAUACUUUAAAGCGCUUCAAGCAAGUGAAGUAAAGCUGCCACUAGGCCAACUUUCAUACAUUUUAGUAGAUUUUAAAAAUUGUUUGACAGUUCUCAAAGCCAAGCAAGCAAAGCAAGCGUGCAUUG